rnacentral:rRNA from 1 species
GACGAACGCUGGCGGCGUGCUUAACACAUGCAAGUCGAACGGAAAGGCCCUGCUUUUGUGGGGUGCUCGAGUGGCGAACGGGUGAGUAACACGUGAGUAACCUGCCCUUGACUUUGGGAUAACUUCAGGAAACUGGGGCUAAUACCGGAUAGGAGCUCCUGCUGCAUGGUGGGGGUUGGAAAGUUUCGGCGGUUGGGGAUGGACUCGCGGCUUAUCAGCUUGUUGGUGGGGUAGUGGCUUACCAAGGCUUUGACGGGUAGCCGGCCUGAGAGGGUGACCGGCCACAUUGGGACUGGGAUACGGCCCAGACUCAUACGGGAGGAAGGAGUGGGGAAUAUUGCACAAUGGGCGGAGGCCUGAUGCAGCAACGCCGCGUGCGGGAUGACGGCCUUCGGGUUGUAAACCGCUUUCGCCUGUGACGAAGCGUGAGUGACGGUAAUGGGUAAAGAAGCACCGGCUAACUACGU